CAGGAGGAAAUCCACUUGUAGUGUCUCAGCCCAUGGACCAAUGUCAUAUUGACUGAAUAAAACAAUUUGGCUUGGAGGGAGUUUGAUACAUGCUGGAUGAGAAAAAGUGUCUAAGCAGCGUUGAGGAACCAGGCAGAGUAGGAUCAACACUGUUUUCUUGUGGCACCUCUUGAGCCAUUCAGUGGUUCUCAAAUAUCCAACAAGGUGCUGGUGCUGGGUUCCCAAAGAGCACAUCUUAGUCAUGUGAGGCAUCUGUCAACUAUCGGGGAUUCCAGGUGAGAGGGAGAUUCCAUGGGACUUGUGUCACCAUGGGAAUGGAACAUGAGAGGAUUCUUAGGGGAAAUGGAGUUGUGUCUCCUGAUUUUUGGGAAACCAUGGGUUUCAAGAAGAGCACCAUUUGGCAUCAUAUUUGUCCAAAGUGAAUAAAGGCAUCAUCUUGGACCAUGAAGGAGGUAACACAAGAAGAUGGAAAAUGUCAAGAAACUGCGUCUCAAAUAUUUGAUGGAAGUCUACCUGGGUCUAAAGCUUGGGCUUCUAACCAAGCCACAACAUAAUGUUUGAAUCUAAGGAAAUAUCCUGCCAUCGGAUGGAGCCACUCCAUCUCUUCCUCUGUGAGUUCUCUUCAUGCCUGGUGAAAGGUGUGGCAUUUUUGUUUUUCAUUUUGCUCCUUAAAUUGGUGACAACACUGCAUAGCAAUUAAGGCCCUGAUGGUUGGAGUUUGGCUGAACUUGGGUUUGAGUUCUAGCAAUGAUUUCAUUGCUAGAUAUGAAACCAGAAACACAGGCAACAAAAGUAAAAAAAUAGACCCAUGGUUCCACAUUAAAUUAAAAAAUUUCUGCACAGCAAAGAAAACAAUCAGAGUGAAAAGGCAACCUAUGAAAUGGGAGAAAAUAUUUGCAAACCAUAUAUCUAAAAAGGAGUAAUAUCCAAACUAUACAAGGAACUCCUAUAGCUCAAUAGCAAAAAACCUAACAACCUGAUUUAUAAAAUGAGCUAAGAACUUGAAUAGACAUUUCUCUAAAGAAAACAUAUAUAUAGUCAGCAGGAAUAGGAAAAAAUUAAUUACUCAA